CCGUGACUACUUAACAUGAAUCGUUGGAUUUACCAGAAAAAGAAAACUGUACGAGAAAAAAAGAAUUCCGUUGCCGGGACUUGAACCCGGGUCUCUCGGGUGAGAGCCGAGUAUCCUGACCAACUAGACUACAACGGAUUGAUGGUUACAAAUUUAUGAGGGUCGAGAAUCACAAACCCUAAUCAGCAUCAAUGAGAAUCGCAAGCACCUUCCUCGUCUGGCUUAUCUUCCUUUUCAAAUUACAGGUAGUAUGUACAAAAUUAUCAAAAAAAAAUUUGCAUCAUGGAUGAAGAAGGUGUUGUUAUAGAUAAGUUUCACUCGUCUUUCAUGGUUAAUAUGCAAAAAAAUUGAUGCGUUUUUGAGUGUUUUAUAGCUUUUUUAGGGGUUUUAAGUUGUUUUCAUGGAACAAGAGACACUAUCUUUGGGAGGUAAAUUAACAUUAAUAGACUCUUUUUUGCAGGAUCAAUGGAUUGUGAGUUGUGACUGAGAUUGUAUGCUACAAAAUGAUGGCGUUUGGAGUUGUUCAUGGCUGCAGAGGAGAAUGAUGUUUAGACGGGAUGAGGACUUUCUAAUAGAUAUUCGAAACUUAUUUGAUGUGGUAGACUUUUGAAACAAUGAAGAAUAUUCUCUUGGAGGCUUUUUCAGGAUAGAUUAUGAACUAGAUCUCAACUUUUUAAAAGAGGGCGAGUGUGCAAUGAGCUACUGACCAUCCAAACAUGAAGUCAAUUGAUCGUUCUGCAGCUCUUUCAUCGGAUUUGCUAUUUGAAAAUGGCACAAACCAGUAAGACUGUAAGGCUAUUCCAAUCGAACCCCUUUGAUAUGUGCUUUGGCUUUUAAGUAACAACUGUACCUGCAUUAGUUUAGAGUUUAGACCCUAGCAAUUUAGCAAUUUAGUAUUCAAGCAUAUAAAUUUUUUGUAAGAACUUGUUUAAAGACACUGUUAGUAGACCUCCUAUUAAAAAGGUGUAUUUGAGACAUGCUCCAAAGACCCAAGCAAUUAGGCCUAUUUUAGGUGUGGUUAGUUUACUUGUGUUUAAGUAGAAUAAGAGUGGCAUUUUAUUGUCAUUGGUUUUGUUAAUUUGGGUGUGGUUUGGGAGAUUUUAGGCUCUCUAAGUCCUGGACUGUUUAAGAGAGAUUAUUAGAAUUUCUUGAAUGAGCAUAUGAGGAUUACAGAGCCACACGUAAUGAGGUAAACUACUUGCGACAAGACAACAACUGGAAGUGCAAAAGGCUGAAGCGCAACGCAGAUGGAAGAAUUAAGUGAAACUGUUAACGGUUUGUCAAUAAGCCGUGAAUAGGGAUCACCGUCGUUCUCGUUGCAGCAGACACCCAGCACAGAGGACAUAUGAAGGAAGUUAACAAUCCCUAUAAAUUCGUUUACCUAAUCACAUGUGCAUCUUCUCCUUCAAGUUUGACUAAUGCUUCAAGUGUCAUAAAACGGAACAUUUUUCAUAUGAGUUUCCUACUUGGGAUGAGACAGCAAACUAUGCAGAGUUUAAUAAAAAGAAGAAAGGUAACUUUUGACACUUAGGAAAAGAAGUGCAAGUUGUUUGAAAAGGUAUCUUAUAAUAACUAUGGCAUGAGGCAGUAAAGGUUAGUCUUCCUGCAAAUUAGAAUUCCUGUAGUUGAUGUGAAAGAUAUUACUCCUAAAAAAGCUUGUGGUGGCAUCAAACAACUAAGCAACGAAUGAGUUAGUUUUUUACCGGAUAGAAAUACUUAGUCUGCUCUUGUCCUAACAAGAUCAAACUCAAGUAUUACUUGCACGGUUCGACCUCAACUACAUUUUAAAACCUGAUUUCGAAGUUAUAUUAGUAUCAUACUCGAUAUCUAAUUAGUUGUCUUUAAACAUGAGUUUGAUACAGUUUAUAGCUUCAAAGUUAUCAUCACUUAAAGUUAAAAUGAACCUGAUAUUUUGUCCUGUACACUUGAACAGCUGCUGCAUGAGCAAGGAGUAGGUGAUGUGCAACUAAAUAGGGCUCUGUCCCUGAAUCGCCGCCGGUGCAGUUGAGAUUUUGCCAAUCAGAACACCGACCAGGUGGAAACAUCCCUAUAGCAUAUCCAGCUGUUGUGUAAGUCGAUGGUUCAUUUAUAGUAAUCCAAUGUUUCACUCUAUCUCCAAAUUCCUUGAAACAAAGCUCCGCGUAAUCCCGAAAAUCAAAUCUAAAAGUUCAUAACAGAAAAGUAUAAUCACACUUUAGUAGCAGUGGUGUGACAUAAAUAGACAGUUUUAGUAUAUGGUUUAGUGAGAAACAGAAUGUAUAGCAUAUAGUACAUAAAAAGUUGUUACUUACACUAUGAGAGGACUUAAGAAACCUCCAUACUCAUCUUCCAAAGCUUGUGGUAGAUCCCAAUGGAAAAGGGUUACAAAUACUUCUAUACCUGAAAAACUAAUUUUUUUUAUCAACUAUGAUUGCAAAAAUGUCUUGAGAAAUUAGAAAAUGAAAAUUUCAAGAUUUACAAGAAAAUAAAAAGUUAAGAUUAUGACCAUUAGCUAAUAGCUCAUUGAUUAAGUUGUUGUAGUAUCUGAUUCCUUCCUGAUUUAUACCUCCACUUAUUCUUCCAUCUGUAAAUAAUUUUUUCAUUAUGAAUGCAAUAAAUAACUUGAUAUAUGCAUUACUUAAGUUAAUGAUAGGAACUGAUCAUAAACUUACUUGGUAGUAUUCUAGACCAUGAGAUGGAUAAUCUAUAUGCAUCUAAAUUCAUAUACUUCAUGAUCCCAACAUCUUCCUGUAAUAUAAAAAUGAAGUUUUUCUAAAAAAAAAAUCUAAUAUAUAUUUUAUAAGAAACAUAUUUAAAUCAACAUUUUUAUUUAAAAUUUGUUUUAUAAUUUUUAAUAUGUAAACAAAAAUAUAUAAUACUAUAUUUUUUUUUUAAAUUGAAAAAAACAGGCAUAAGUAGCUCUCAUUUAGCUGGUCAAAGAAAUUCUUGUUAGUUUAUAAGUUCUAACUCAAUCUUUAAAAUUAGUAAAAAAUAACCAUUUAACUGUUGAUUAUAAUAUAUAAUAAAUUCAAUUUGUCAAGUUUAGUUUUAAUAUUCCCUAUUCUAUGAUAUGAAUCAAACCUUGUACCGAUGAUACCCAUCAAUAGAGACUUCUCCGGUGUUUUUGUCGAUGAUUUUUUCUGUAUAUCAAUCACAAAUGAAUGCAUGUAAGUCACACAUUUACAUAAUUUCUAAUCUGAUAUAACAUAGUCCUGGUCUAUAAAUUUUGCUGUUCCAUUUUA